UACGGAGGGUGCAAACGUUGCUCGGAAUCAUUGGGCGUAAAGCGAACGUAGGCGGCUUUGUAAGUCGGGUGUGAAAGCCCUCGGCUCAACCGAGGAAGUGCAUUCGAAACUGCAAGGCUGGAGUAUCGGAGAGGAUAGCGGAAUUCCCGGUGUAGAGGUGAAAUUCGUAGAUAUCGGGAGGAACACCAGUGGCGAAGGCGGCUAUCUGGACGAAUACUGACGCUGAAGUUCGAAAGCGUGGGGAGCGAAUGGG
rnacentral:rRNA from 1 species